GCUCCAGUGGCGCAAUCGGUUAGCGUGUGGUACUUAUAAUGCCGAGGUUGUGAGUUCAAGCCUCACCUUGAGCA